rnacentral:rRNA from 1 species
GACGAACGCUGGCGGCGUGCUUAACACAUGCAAGUCGAACGGAAAGGCCCUGCUUUUGUGGGGUGCUCGAGUGGCGAACGGGUGAGUAACACGUGAGUAACCUGCCCUUGACUUUGGGAUAACUUCAGGAAACUGGGGUAAUACCGGAAAGGAGCUCCUGCCGGAUGGGGGGGGUUGGAAAGUUUCGGCGGUUGGGGAUGGACUCGCGGCUUAUCAGCUUGUUGGUGGGGUAGUGGCUUACCAAGGCUUUGACGGGUAGCCGGCCUGACAGGGUGACCGGCCACAUUGGGACUGAGAUACGGCCCAGACUCCUACGGGAGGCAGCAGUGGGGAAUAUUGCACAAUGGGCGGAAGCCUGAUGCAGCAACGCCGCGUGCGGGAUGACGGCCUUCGGGUUGUAAACCGCUUUCGCCUGUGACGAAGCGUGAGUGACGGUAAUGGGUAAAGAAGCACCGGCUAACUACGUG